AUACGGAGGGUCCGAGCGUUAUCCGGAAUCAUUGGGUUUAAAGGGUCCGUAGGCGGGAAUCUAAGUCAGUGGUGAAAUCUUGCAGCUCAACUGUAAAAUUGCCAUUGAUACUGGAUUUCUUGAAUUAGUGUGAAGUGGUUAGAACGUGUAGUGUAGCGGUGAAAUGCAUAGAUAUUACACAGAAUACCAAUUGCGAAGGCAGAUCACUAACACUAUAUUGACGCUGAGGGACGAAAGCGUGGGGAGCGAACAGGAUUAGAAACCCCAGUAGUCC
rnacentral:rRNA from 1 species